GCGGCGCACACUCAGCCAAACUCGCGGUCUGCGGUAGGUCGUGUCACGCGGUGGCGCAACGAUCGCAGCCGUUCCCGCCACAUAUACGAACACAUUUUCUUUGAAAUUUCGUGCAAUUGCAAAGAAAAAAGUGAACAAAGCGGGACCUUACGGUGUCUUCACAGUGCCUUGUGAUUGUUGUUUACAUAUGAAUAGACUAUUUUUUAUCGAUAUUUUUACAAAUUUCGGUAGUAAUAGAGGUACGAGACGUGGUCGCACUAGUGGAACGAAGAACAGACGUUUCAAGUAGUGAGGAUUACGUGAACUUCGCCCUGGACCAGUCUAACAGAUAACAUAUCAACGUGGUGCUCGCAGAUAUCGACGACUGUACACUUCAACAAGUUACCAAAUAGGCUAAGAGUACUACAUAAGAGUAAUGACAAUUAGUCAGUCCUUUAGAUAAUUUUUACAAAACUAUAUUAUAAGGAAAUAUCAAAUGAGCAUAUCUAGUAGAAGUAUAAAGAUAUCAUCGAAGACCAUGGCGUGCGUGAGCUUGAGGAGCAGCCUGAGGAUACUGUGGACGGCGGUGGCGGCGCUCGUGUUCCUCACCAGGAGCAGCGCCGCGCCGACCUUCGGGGGAGCAGAUAAGGCGAUGCCUGAACAUGACGCCUACUUCCAGAUGUACUUAGCGCAGUACGGGUACCUGAGUCCUUCCGUGAGGAAUCCGUCGAGUGGCCACAUCAUGGACGAAAGUUCGUGGCGUCGAGCAAUCGCGGAGUUCCAGAGCUUUGCCGGGUUAAACGCGACAGGUGAAUUAGAUGAAGAGACAACAAAAGUAAUGUCAUUGCCAAGGUGUGGCGUGCGAGACAAAGUGGGCUUCGGAGAGAGCCGAGCCAAGCGAUACGCGCUGCAGGGUUCAAGGUGGCGUGUGAAGAACCUCACCUACAAGAUCUCCAAGUACCCAUCUAAGCUGAACCGUGCUGAAGUCGACAAUGAACUUGCCAAAGCCUUCGCCGUGUGGUCCGACUACACGGACCUUACCUUCACACAGAAGCGAAGCGGACAAGUCCACAUCGAAAUCAGGUUCGAGAAGGGAGAGCACGGAGACGGUGAUCCUUUCGACGGUCCUGGUGGCACUCUUGCCCACGCUUACUUCCCCGUGUACGGCGGCGAUGCUCACUUCGAUGACGCUGAGAUGUGGUCCAUUAACUCGAGGAGGGGCACCAAUCUCUUCCAGGUCGCUGCGCACGAGUUCGGUCAUUCCCUAGGGUUGUCCCACAGUGAUGUUCGGUCAGCACUCAUGGCUCCAUUCUACAGAGGUUACGACCCUGCCUUCCAACUUGAUCAGGAUGACAUUCUAGGAAUUCAGGCUCUCUACGGACACAAGACACAGACUGACAUCGGUGGGCCCCUGCCGGCAGUACCGUCUGUCCCCCGCGCCACUACACAGCAACCAGCUGCCGAGGACCCUGCUCUCUGUGGCGACCCUAAGUUCGACACCAUCUUCAACUCUGCAGACGGUGGCACUUUCAUAUUCAAAGGCGAACAUUAUUGGCGUCUCACCGAGGACGGUGUAGCAUCGGGAUACCCUCGUCUGAUAUCCCGUGCAUGGCCUGGUCUGCCCGGCAACAUUGAUGCUGCCUUUACAUACAAAAACGGCAAGACUUACUUCUUCAAGGGAUCCAAGUACUGGAGGUAUAACGGACAGAAGGUGGACGGAGAGUACCCGAAAGAUAUUAGCGAAGGUUUCACCGGCAUCCCAGACAAUCUAGACGCUGCCCUCGUCUGGUCUGGCAAUGGCAAGAUUUACUUCUACAAGGGAUCCAAGUUCUGGCGCUUUGACCCCUCUCAAAGGCCGCCUGUCAAGGCCACAUAUCCUAAACCUCUCUCCAACUGGGAGGGUAUACCUGACGGUAUUGAUGCUGCCCUGCAGUACACCAAUGGAUACACGUACUUCUUCAAGGGUGGUUCAUACUGGCGGUUUAAUGACAGAACUUUCAGUGUCGACUCAGACAACCCAGCGUUCCCGCGGUCGACGGCGUUCUGGUGGCUCGGCUGCAGCAGCGCGCCGAAAGGCACCGUCGGAGGUAACGCGCGGCUCUCUGACAGCACCGACCACGAGGCCGAUGAUGACGUCGGAGAUAUACUGUUCGACGCAGGUGUAAAAUCAUCCGCUCCCAGAUCAUUCUUCUGGUUCAGGAAAUAGCCUCGACGGAGUGUUCCUGAAUAUUGUACAUAAAGAAUUUACAUAAAGAACAAAGACUCAAUUAGUUACAUAAAUAUAAGAAUACCAGUGAGAUUAUAGAACAUAAGCGGUGAUUUUAGUACCGGCGAGCUUGUCGCGUGCUGACAUGGGUCAGAUUCGGGCGACAACAGCGGGCGCAGCAGCGCGAGUACUCGCGGCCUCAUGACGCCGCUGUCGCUGACUGCACUAGCGACGCUGGUGGCGCUAGCGACCAGCGCGCUGCAGCCACGCGCCUAGCGCCCGCCGCGCAUCUAGCGCCCCCCGCGCCUAGCGCCCGCACUCGGCGCCCGCCAGCGCCCGGCGCGCGACCGCGACACUGACUGUGAUGGUGUACUGUGUGCCUGGACGCGUUCGGUGUAUUGUGUAUAGCGAAUACGCUACUGUGAUGACGAUUGCGCCUUUUUUAUACUGCGAGAACGAUAAUUUAAAGCGAAGUCAUAGUUUUUAUACUUAAGAUAAAUAGAUGAUGUAAGCUCGUGUGUGAUAUUGACGUAAGCGACGAUUUUUAUAUUAAAAUAUUUAAAGUGACCACA